rnacentral:sRNA from 2 species
CUAAGGUUCGAUUCGAGCGAAAGCGAGAAAGCGUUGCCGCAGGCAACGACCCGAAGGGCGAAACGCGCAGCGCUGAGUCAUCCUUCCCCCACCACCA